GGAGCCGGUAGUGUAAAGGUUAGCAUAUCACAUUGUCAGUGUGAAGGCGGGGUUCGAAUCCCACCGGUUCCG
rnacentral:tRNA from 1 species